rnacentral:rRNA from 1 species
AGUACUAUCUACAUGAAAAACUCAUAUAUAAUGGCGGUUUUAAUAACUUAGAGAAACUCGCUUAUUAAUCGACAACACCCGCUAAAUUUAACUUAGACAAUUCACAACGCUUAUAUACCGCCGUUAUUCAGGCUUAAUUAAAAAAUAAAACCCACCCCCUAUAAAUUUCACAAAAAAUCAGGUCAAGGUGUAGCUAAUAAACAAGACUAAGUAAGUUACAUUAAAAAUAAUUUAAGAAUUAAAAAAAACAUUAAACUAUGAAAAAGAAUUUAUAAGUACAUUAAAAUUAAAAUUUUAUA